rnacentral:rRNA from 1 species
GGAACGGAGAGGCCCUUACCAGGUCUUGACAUCCAGUGCAAACCUAAGAGAUUAGGUGUUCCCUUCGGGGACGAAAGACAGGUGGUGCAUGGUGUCGUCAGCUCGUGUCGUGAGAUGUUGGGUUAAGUCCCGCAACGAGCGCAACCCUUGUCAUUAGUUGCCAUCAUUAAGUUGGGCACUCUAAUGAGACUGCCGGUGACAAACCGGAGGAAGGUGGGGAUGACGUCAAGUCAUCAUGCCCCUUAUGACCUGGGCUACACACGUGCUACAAUGGACGGUACAAAGAGAAGCGAACUUGCGAGGGCAAGCUAAUCUCUAAAGCCGAUCUGAGUUCGGAAUGUAGGCUGCAACUCGCUUCCAGAAGCGGGAAUCGCUAGUAUCGCGAAUCA